rnacentral:rRNA from 1 species
GUGGGGAAUUUUGGACAAUGGGGGCAACCCUGAUCCAGCCAUCCCGCGUGUGCGAUGAAGGCCUUCGGGUUGUAAAGCACUUUUGGCAGGAAAGAAAUCGCACGGGAUAAUACCUCGUGUGGAUGACGGUACCUGCAGAAUAAGCACCGGCUAACUACGUGCCAGCAGCCGCGGUAAUACGUAGGGUGCAAGCGUUAAUCGGAAUUACUGGGCGUAAAGCGUGCGCAGGCGGUUCGGAAAGAAAGAUGUGAAAUCCCAGGGCUUAACCUUGGAACUGCAUUUUUAACUACCGGGCUAGAGUGUGUCAGAGGGGGGUGGAAUUCCGCGUGUAGCAGUGAAAUGCGUAGAUAUGCGGAGGAACACCGAUGGCGAAGGCAGCCCCCUGGGAUAACACUGACGCUCAUGCACGAAAGCGUGGGGAGCAAACAGGAUUAGAAACCCUUGUAGUCC